rnacentral:rRNA from 1 species
AACGUAGGAGGCAAGCGUUAUCCGGAUUUACUGGGCGUAAAGCGGUGUGCAGGCGGUUGUCCAAGUCGUGUAUGAAAGCGCUCCGCUUAACGGGGCGAGGCUAGACGAGACUGGGCGACUAGAAUCAGGACAGAGGCAAGCGGAAUUCCGGGUGUAGUGGUGAAAUGCGUAGAGAUCCGGAGGAACACCAGAGGCGCAGGCGGCUUGCUGGGUCUGUAUUGACGCUC